rnacentral:lncRNA from 1 species
AGUUUAAUGUAUUUUAAUAGCAAACUUACAGGAACAGCACAGAAGACUGACAACAUUAAAAACAUGUACUUGUAUGUAGGACAACUCAGUUAGAAAAGUAUAGUGAAUGGAUGGAAUCUACUGUGUGAUAAAAAUGCUACAAACACCAUUUAGUUGCCGUCAAUAAGAAAUUUACUUAUUUUAAAAAAAUCCAAAUGCUGGCAUUGUCCAGAAAAUUUUAACAGGUUUAUUUAUAAUUGUUAUAAAGUUGAACUGUUGAAAUGUGUUCACUGAAACAUUUUGCUUGCAUUAAUGCUUUCCAUCUUGCAUUUAUAUUAAAAAUUCACACACAAAUGAACGUGGAGAAACGCCAAUACCUGAUUCUGUCCCCUAUGUUUCCACUCGCAAUCAUAUACUUAGGUACCUUUGACCCCAUGGAAAAAAUAUCUAACAUUCAGAACUACUGAUAACAGGAAGAAGAGGAAAAAAAAUUUUUUUGAGAAUGAAAUGUUUCCCCUCAUAGUGGACUCUUAAGCACGUUCUCCGCGUAUGCGGCGUGCUAGCUGGAUAUCUUUUGGCAUAAUUGUUACACGUUUGGCAUGGAUAGCACACAGAUUGGUAUCUUCAAAAAGGCCAACCAGAUAGGCCUCACUUGCCUCCUGCAACAAUAAAAGAGAAAUGACUUAGUGGUAUUGUUUCCAACAGUUAAAAUACACUUACACAGUAAAACCCUUUAAAGAAUUUAUCAAACGCUCACAUAGAAACCUGUCAAGAUGCCUAAGUUCACAAAGUUUUCUACAGCCUCACAAAACAUCAAGACACUUCAAUACUCCAAAUGUUAACACGCUCCCUAGUAAACAAAUGGCCUCAAAGAAACCAACAAAUCCUAACGUCCUCAUCCUUACCAGAGGAAGUGUAUUGGAACUCAUCACUAAGGCAGCCCAGGAUCCCGCAAUGGGCCUCACGUUUACCUUCUGCUUCCACUCUGGAAUGCUGAGGAUUGAACUCAGGACCUUGUCCCAAUUGGCUUAUUACCAGCUCCAAAGUGCUUUCUUCCAGAUCCUUAGCGUGUAAUUUGCCGCACUCUAUCAAAUGUUGAACCCACUGUUACACUGUGAGAUCCUUCAGGGUAUUUUCUUAUUCUUCCCACCACUUAAACUUGCUAGCUAUACGAACCACCCAUUGACACCCAUCAAGUCAUGUGAAAAGGAAAAAGGACCUCCACACCUUAUGGUUGCCCAGGGUUCUUUUUUUUUUGGUGGUAUUGUUUUUUGUUGUUGUUGUUGUUUUGUUUGUUUUUUCUUUCAAGACAGGGUUUCUCUGUAUAGCCCAGGCUGUCCUGGAACUCACUUUGUAGACCAGGCCAGCUAGGGCUACUGAGACCCUACCUUGGAGGGUAAGGAGGAAAGCUCGCCUACUAUGCACAUGCAAUGGAUAUAAUCCAAGCACCACAUAAAGCAGAUAUGGAGCUCGCCUGUAAUCCUAGUCUUCAGGGGCAGAGAGAAUAGAGUUCAAAGUCACCCUUAACGACAUACCUGGCUUUCAGAGCAUAAACCUAAAUAAACUCAAGUCAUUAAAAAAAAAAUGCAGGGGACAUUAAAAAAAUAUAUAUAAAAGUGCAUAUUUUACUCAAAAUCAUGCUUACAGGUGAUUAUGUAACUAAAUAAUAGCAACAAUGGAUGUUUACUCAUUAAUAAUUUUAGAAAUGUUCCAGCCCAAAUGUUUAGUAAUUUCAGUAGACAAACAAUUAUUGAAAGUAAGGUUAAAAAAAAAAAGCUGGACUUACAAGUACAGUGAUGUGUUAAGUAGAGCCUACUAACAGUAAUUAGAAAACAAAAGUAGCUCAUCUUGGGAAUCUUAGUAAAUGCAAAAGGAAUUGAUAAGCAGCUAUUGGAAUGGAAAAAUAAAAUUCUAAAGGAACAGUAUGGGAAGAUUUUGAUAGUUGAAAUUUCAGUAAUUUCAACCCAUGCAAAUUUAAUAGAUGCCGAUUCACCAAUCAAAUGCAGUUUAGCCUAACCAUAGAAACAGCUCAACCAAUCACACACCAGAGUAGAAUCCACCUAUCAAAUCUUUCUCAAAUAUAAAAGCAAAAGCUAGGCACAGCAACAGUAAUCUUUGAAAUCCUCCAAUGAUGACGUGCAGUACUGCCCAGCAAGCUGCAUUCCUACUUACUCUGCUUCUGACCCGCUGUGUCUGCCUGCGUGUGUGUGUCUGUGUGACGGGAACAGAUCCUCAGAAUUGGAGCUGCAGGGAGCUGUCAUGUGCUUGCUGGGAAUUGAACCCUGCACCUCUUAUCCAGAGUGGUCACUGCAGCCCCACCUUUUCAUAGUUGAGAUACCAACACUCGUCAAGUCUUUUUGUGUUAAUCUCAACUUUAAUACUGUUGUAAGUUAUUAGUGCUUCCACAUACAAUCACUCCAGAUCACUGUUCCCAGCACCAGAACUGAGACUAAAUUCAGCCUGUGUAAUGUGAUCUCUAUGGUUGCCGCCAGCAAGCUCCAUGUGCUCAGCCCCCUUCUUCUUCCCAGCAGUCAGUCCCAGGACCACCACCACUUCUGCGCAUCCUUGAAC